CUGACAUGCAUACGAGUCAAUGGGUUCUGGAACCUGGGAUGCACAAGGAAGCUGACGAGUGAGAGGCCCUCGCGGGCCGCACCACCGGCCGACCCUGAUCUUCUGUGAAGGGUUCGAGUUGGAGCACGCCUAUCGGGACCCGAAAAAUGGUGAACUAUGCCUGAGCAGGGCGAAGCCAGAGGAAACUUUGGUGGAGGCUCAAAGUGAUACUGACGUGCAAAUCGUUCGUCUGACUUGGGUAUAGGGGCGAAAGACUAAUCUAACCAUCUAGUAGGUGG
rnacentral:rRNA from 1 species